GGAACCGUAGCCCAACUGGCAGGAGGCGCUUGCUUGAGGAGCAAGACAGUGCGGGUUCGAAUCCCGCCGGUUCCACCA
rnacentral:tRNA from 1 species